rnacentral:rRNA from 1 species
CACGUAGGGCGCGAGCGUUGUCCGGAAUUAUUGGGCGUAAAGAGCUCGUAGGCGGCCUGUUGCGUCCGCUGUGAAAGCCCGGGGCUUAACCCCGGGUCGGCAGUGGAUACGGGCAGGCUAGAGGUAGGUAGGGGAGAAUGGAAUUCCCGGUGUAGCGGUGAAAUGCGCAGAUAUCGGGAGGAACACCGGUGGCGAAGGCGGUUCCCUGGGCCUUACCUGACGCUGAGGAGCGAAAGCGUGGGGAGCGAACAGG